rnacentral:rRNA from 1 species
CCAUACUACACUAGGGCUGUGAUUUCAUCAGGUCCUAGAUGUUAAGCAAGGCCAAACCUGGUCAGUACUUGGAUGGGAGUCCUCCAAGGACAAGCCAGGUGCAGCAAGAA